rnacentral:lncRNA from 8 species
UAUUUUAUCACCAUGUGUGAGUGUGUGAGUCAUGUGUGUACAUGUGAGUUAGUCUGUGUUGAUUUGCUUGCAGGGUUUGCCUGGCACCAGUGGACUACCAGGGGAGAAGGUGAGGCUAACGCUGUCUGACUGACUCUUUGAUCAAUCGAAGUGAAUCUCCACAAAAUAAACAUGACGGAACAAUGUAAUGUAAUCAGAACAAUGACAUCAACUAAACAUAGAUGAACAUCAGAUAAAAACAUCCGAACUUCUCUGUCUCCAGGGCAGCGAGGGCGCUAAGGGAGAACCUGGCCGGAGUGUGAGUCACCUCAUAGCUACAUGAUUUAUUUUGAUGCCUCAUGGGUAGAUAGACCGAUAUGAUUUAUAUUACAUGGAUUUUGAUGGAAGCAAUUCACUAUACAUUUAUUGCGAAGGAAGAGAUCAAGAUUGGUCAGUAUUGGUUAAUGUAAUGAUAUCUCAUCCUCUGUAUCAUUCUACACAUCCAGGGGCCAGGCUUAGGUGGGAAGAAAGGUGAACAGGCAAGUUACCCACUUUGACUUCCUCAUACUGGCCAUCUCCAUAUCAAUGGUUGAUAUGUUGAUGUACUGUACACAGUAACAAUACUUUCUCCAUAGACUCAUUCUUUCUUCCCCCUCUCCUCUCCCUCAGGGUGAGCCGGGUCUGCCAGGUCUGGAGGGGCCCAAGGGCCAGAAAGGCGAGCCAGCCCAGAAAGGUGAAAAAGUGAGUUGGUACCCACAGGGUACAUGAGAGCGCGCUGCAUGAAACUGACACUGCUUGCCCUUGUGUGUGUGUGUGUGUGUGUGUGUGUGUGUGUGUGUGUGUGUGUGUGUGUGUGUGUGUGUGUGUGUGUGUGUGUGUGUGUGUGUACAGGUGAUUUAAUGAUGCUCUCUAUGCAAGCGGGUAUAGAUGUUUUCUGCUGUUCAUCUCUCUUUUUGCUCCUCACUGUUUCUCAUUCUCUAAUUUCUCUCUCUCCUCUUGCAUUCUUCCAGGGUCCCCCAGGUGCUGGCACUCCUGGCCAGGGUGGACCUAAAGGAGAGCAGGGGGAUCGGGGAGUCCCUGGCUUAGCUGGAAGACUGGGGACCAAGGGAGACCCAGGUGACCCAGGAGAGAGAGGGGAGACAGGACGAGCUGGACCCGCAGGAAAGAAUGGCCUCCCAGGGAAAGAGGUCUGA